rnacentral:rRNA from 1 species
UACAGAGGGGGCAAGCGUUAUUCGGAAUUAUUGGGCGUAAAGGGCGCGUAGGCGGCCUGGCAAGUGGAAGGUGAAAUCCCUCGGCUUAACCGAGGAACUGCCCUCCAAACUGCUUGGCUUGAGUCCGGGAGGGGUGAGUGGAAUUCCCAGUGUAGCGGUGAAAUGCGUAGAUAUUGGGAGGAACACCAGUGGCGAAGGCGGCUCACUGGACCGGAACUGACGCUGAGGCGCGAAAGCGUGGGGAGCAAACGGG